CAGCUGCCCAGCCAGAAGCUGCGUCAGCUGCCCAGCCAGAAGCUGCGUCAGCUGCCCAGCCAGAAGCUGCGUUUUCAUCACAGCCACCAGUCCAGCCAGCUGUUCAGUCGCCCUCAGCAGCCCAGUCUCCUGUGUUGCCACUAGUCCAGCCAUUAGCGCGGCCUGCACCUCAGCCAUUAGCGUGGCUGGCAGUUCAGUUAACUACACAGGUUGCAGCUCAACAGUCUAUUCAGCCACUAUGUCCACCCACUCAUUCUAAGGAGGAGGAUAGCCCUGCUAAGACUUUUGUUGUUCCUCUAGACCUGGCCUAUUUAGAGACUGUUACUCUCUCCAGGGUGUCCCCAGAGGCUGAAGCCCUCAGUUAACUCUGGACACGAAGAAGCCAGCGCAACCUGUUUCUCCUGGGAACUCAUUCGGGUUGUCUCAGUGACUGGUCCCUGCUGAGAGGUCAGGGGAGUUAACUCUGCCACCGUUCUAUGCUGGAAGCUCUAGUGAGCUCAUUCGGCCAGCUAAGGACUGCAUCCUGCUGUUACUGCCUGAGCAGAGCCUCUGUCCUGCGCAGCUCCAAUCAGCUUCAUCUCUGUUCCCCGUGGUCGGCCUCCAGACCUCUCUCGUCUCUGUCACUGGCCUCCGCGUCGGCCUCCUGAAUGGUCUCAUGACAGCUUUCAAAUGAACCUUAAAGAUUUUCCCAGGAAUACCUCAAAUAACAACCGUACCUCAGACUUCAUUUUAAGAAAAUUUAAAUGAUACAGUGGAAAGUUUCUGCCUCUGUGAUUAUCUGCCUAAGACUGUAAAUCUUUUCUACCAUCACCUGAAGAACACCUGAAGUCAGAUCAAUUAAAGUGUAGGAUGCUGCUGAUGGCCACGUGAAGACUUGUUUUCAGAACUGAAGGAGGAAGUUUAGGAAAACCAGCACAUGAUGUAGAGAAAUUUCAGCACUGUGGCUCGACAGGAGCAGGUCCUGCCUUACCUGAACACCUUUGUCAGUGAUGGAGCUUCCUGUUUGUAUCCAAACACUGGGUCAGUUAAAGAGGGUGGGGCAGUACAGAAAGGCCACUUCCUCCCUUGUGUUGGUGUAGCUGAAGUCGUAGACAUCCGAUAUUGCACAGUACUGUGUCAAUAUUUUUCCUCUUGCCUUUGGUGCCGUUUAUCCAUCUAGAUUAUUUUGGUAUGGGCAACCCACUUUUGUAGUUUUCUCUGAGCUCUGUGUCUCUGAAAAGUAAUGUUUCCAUUCUAAAGAAAUCCAGACUGUUACAGAUCUACUGACCUUGUAGGAAUUCUUUUCUUUCCACUGAACUACAUCUGCUAACCAUAUCAGUGUCCUGGAGGAAGCACGUAAAGGCUUUGAACAAGAAGCUUGACUUCAUGACAGGCUUUAUGCUUCUUUGUAGUUGGCAGGUGUAGACACUGCACCAGAUUUCUGAGUUUUAACAAAUUCAUGCAUUUCAACAAUACUUUGAACUAGAAAGGUGGCAGUCAAGAAACAGGCAGUGCUUCAUUUAACAAAGUCAAUAUUUAUAGCAGAGGAGAUGCAGGUCUAGAUCAUUGGACUUAAAAUAUUUAUUAAAAACCCUGGACUAACCUCCAGCCGUGAAACAUGUUUAGCAUAAAAAUAUUAACAGGUGUAAUUAAGACAUGUGUGCACAAAGUCUUUCAAAUACAGCCUCUGUCAUGUCAACAAACAUGAACAGAACAUUUAAAAUGGCCGUCAGAUAAAAUUCACAGAAAACCUGG